rnacentral:rRNA from 1 species
UACGAAGGGGGCUAGCGUUGCUCGGAAUCACUGGGCGUAAAGGGUGCGUAGGCGGGUCUUUAAGUCAGGGUGAAUCCUGGAGCUCAACUCCAGAACUGCCUUUGAUACUGGCGAUCUCGAGUCCGGGAGAGGUGAGUGGAACUGCGAGUGUAGAGGUGAAAUUCGUAGAUAUUCGCAAGAACACCAGUGGCGAAGGCGGCUCACUGGCCCGGUACUGACGCUGAGGUGCGAAAGCGUGGGAGCAACAGG